UUCCUAUCUAUUAGCGGAGGAAACGAAACCACCCGGGAUCGCCUUAGUAACGGCGAGUGAAGCGGCAAAAGCUCAAAUUUGAAAUCUGGCGUCUUCGACGUCCGAGUUGUAAUUUGAAGAAGGCAACUUUGUAGCUGGUCCUUGUCUAUGUUCCUUGGAACAGGACGUCAUAGAGGGUGAGAAUCCCGUGUGGCGAGGAUCCCAGUUAUUUGUAAAGUGCUUUCGACGAGUCGAGUUGUUUGGGAAUGCAGCUCUAAGUGGGUGGUAAAUUCCAUCUAAAGCUAAAUAUUGGCGAGAGACCGAUAGCGAACAAGUACAGUGAUGGAAAGAUGAAAAGAACUUUGAAAAGAGAGUGAAAAAGUACGUGAAAUUGUUGAAAGGGAAGGGCAUUUGAUCAGACAUGGCGUUUGCUUCGGCUUUCGCUGGGCCAGCAUCAGUUUUAGCGGUUGGAUAAAUCCUCGGGAAUGUGGCUCUGCUUCGGUAGAGUGUUAUAGCCCGUGGGAAUACAGCCAGCUGGGACUGAGGAUUGCGACUUUUGUCAAGGAUGCUGGCGUAAUGGUUAAAUGCCGC
rnacentral:rRNA from 1 species